CAAAACUUAUGCCUACUAGAAUUUCUGUUGGCAUGUCAGCUAGUAUUAAUGCACUUGAAAGUUGGAAAUCAGAUUUUGUUAGCCAAAUCUGCUGAUGAGGUAAAAUGUAUGAAACCAAGUAGGAAAGAAAGCUGAAGAUAAAAACAGAUAAAGUAAAAUUAUGAUAAAAUGGUAUGUUGUGCUCUUGUGUUUCUAUAGAAGAAUCUGUGAACUGUUAACGAAAAAAAUGAAUGAAAACUGAAGGAGGUUGGAAUGUUUUUGUUGCAGGUUGUAAGACAUGUUUAAAAACAUCUUGGCAAGGAACUAGAAAGAUGAGAUGUAGACAAUAAAAAAUAAAGUAAUUUUAAAGGUAAAGAGUUAAAUUUUUAUAAAAUAAUACUUAUAAAUGGUAAUUUUUCAAAAUGAAUUAUGAUCACUAAUUAUGCCACUUUAAUAAUAUUUUGACACGCUACUAUGAUAGUAGUUACUACGCUUAUAUAAUAGUAAAAAGGGUAAUUUUAUAUCUGAUUGUACUCUAGUAUCAUCUAUAACAAUAAAGUACGUAUCUUUAUCUGUGAUUUUACACUAAUACAUCUAUCUUCUAGCAUUUUUUUAAUAUCCUAAAUGCUUAAUAACAGCGGUUCUCAACCUUAAUCACUCUUGUACCACUGACUUUCUAACGAAUCCUUCUUGCUUACUCCCGUGGUACAUGUACAGUACCACUAAUUAUUUUAUUAUUAUAGUAUAAUGCUUAUAAGAUAGUUGUGUAGUAAAUAUAUAACAAAAUAAUAAUACUAUAAUGCUAUAUUUUAACAGCAUACAAUAGCAAACUA
rnacentral:lncRNA from 1 species